GCAUGGAUUAGGCAUGCAAGUCGAGCGAGAAAGGGGUCUUCGGACCCUGAGUAAAGCGGCGAACUGGUGAGUAACAGGAGGGUAAUGUGCCCGGAAGUUGGGGAUAACGCGCGGAAACGCGUGCUAAUACCGUAUGUGGCCGGCUGGACCAUGGUCCGGCCGGUUAAAGAUGCGAUCGCUUCCGGAUCGGCCCGCCCCCGAUUAGCUUGUUGGUGAGGUCACGGCUCACCAAGGCGACGAUCGGUAGCUGGUCUGAGAGGAUGGUCAGCCACACUGGAACUGAGAUACGGUCCAGACUCCUACGGGGGGCAGCAGUCUAGAGGCUUCGGCAAUGGGGGAAACCCUGACCGAGCGACGCCGCGUGUGGGAUUGAAGGCCUUCGGGUUGUAAACCACUGUCAAGAGGGAAGAAUGCCCGGAUGGCGAAUCCGGGAGUGACGGUACCUCUGGAGGAAGCCCCGGCUAACUCCGUGCCAGCAGCCGCGGUAAUACGGAGGGGGCAAGCGUUGUUCGGAUUUACUGGGCGUAAAGGGUGUGUAGGCGGUUGCGCAAGUCUGGUGUGAAAUCUUCACCGCUUAACGGGAAGAGGUCACUGGAAACUGCGUGACUCGAGUAUGGUAGAGGCAAGCGGAAUUCCUGGUGUAGUGGUGGAAUGUGUAGAUAUCAGGAAGAACACCGGUGGCGAAGGCGGCUUGCUGGGCCAUUACUGACGCUGAGACACGAAAGCGUGGGGAGCAAACGGGCUUAGAUACCCCGGUAGUCCACGCCUUAAACGGUGCGCACUAGGUGUGGGAGGUAUCGACCCCUUCCGUGCCGACGUUAACACAUUAAGUGCGCCGCCUGGGGAGUACGGCCGCAAGGUUGAAACUCAAAGGAAUUGACGGGGGCUCGCACAA
rnacentral:rRNA from 1 species